UCCAUCGUAGCUUAAAUAAAGCAUGACACUGAAGCUGUUAAGAUGGGCCCUAGAAAGCUCCGAAGGCA
rnacentral:tRNA from 1 species